AGGAAUUCAGAGAAAAGAGAGGGUGCCUUCACCAAUAAUCCAAGAUGACUCGGAUCAUCCAGAGUGUACUCCUUCGACUUAUUAAAAAAGUUAACGGUAAGACAGCCUCAGGCAGGUUCUUCAGGAGGUAUCCAGAAGAAGGCACUGUUACCACAGGAGAUGACAGCUCCGUGCACGCUUUUGCCCCUGCAGACCUUCCAGUGGGACAAGACCUUCCAGUGGGACAAGACCUUCCAGUGGGACAAGAUCCAGUGGGACAAGAUCCCACCUGAAGACCUUCCAGUGGGACAAGAUCUGGAGGUGGAAGACAGUGAUACUGAUGAACCUGACGCCAUGGAGGCCUAGGCUAAUGUGUGUGGUUGUGUCUUAGUUUGUAACAAAAGAAGUUUGAAAAGCAAAAAUAAAAAUUCAAAAAUUCAAAAAUA